rnacentral:rRNA from 1 species
UUCCUACGGGACGCAGCAGUGAGGAAUAUUGGUCAAUGGGCGCGAGCCUGAACCAGCCAAGUAGCGUGAAGGAUGACUGCCCUACGGGUUGUAAACUUCUUUUAUAAAGGAAUAAAGUGAGGCACGUGUGCCUUUUUGUAUGUACUUUAUGAAUAAGGAUCGGCUAACUACGUGCCAGCAGCCGCGGUAAUACGUAGGUGGCAAGCGUUAUCCGGAUUUAUUGGGUGUAAAGGGCGUGUAGGCGGGAAUGCAAGUCAAGGGUGAAAUCCCCGCGCUCAACGUGGGAACUGCCUUUGAAACUGGCA